GUUUAAAAAAAAAAACUCUAAAAGCUCUGUCCUCUUUCUCUCAAAGUCACUAGGUUCGGUCAUCAAACACUGCCGGAGUUCAUCAAAAACCCUCGUUUUGAGCACUUCGACUUGUAAAGCCCGGAUCUGGGGCUAUUUUCGCAAAAACUCGACCAAAAAGAGAAAAACCCAAAAGAAUCCCUUCGGUUUCUCUUCUGUUUUACCGAAAAGAACUGUUCAUCAUCGGGAAUGAUGACCUCCUCCACUUGCUGCGAUGGGAUUCGAAACGUACUGCCCAUGGCGAGUCAACAGAGGAUGGGUCCUGCUAUUUUGGUGCAACGACGACAGCAAGGUGUUAGGCCUUGGGACAAGGCAUAGGCGAUGUGAUCGAGGAGGGAGCUGCGACGCAUCUAGAGUUUCUGUACCUUUUUUCAUUAGUUUAGGUUUUAGGCCUGUAAAACUUUCAGCUAGGUUUUUAGUAUUUUGGGCUUGAAAAAAUUUGACUGAACUUGUUAUUAUUAUUAUUAUUUAUUUGAUUUA